UACGUAGGUGGCAAGCGUUGUCCGGAAUUAUUGGGCGUAAAGCGCGCGCAGGCGGUCCUUUAAGUCUGAUGUGAAAGCCCACGGCUCAACCGUGGAGGGUCGUUGGAAACUGGGGGACUUGAGUGCAGAAGAGGAGAGUGGAAUUCCACGUGUAGCGGUGAAAUGCGUAGAGAUGUGGAGGAACACCAGUGGCGAAGGCGACUCUCUGGUCUGUAACUGACGCUGAGGCGCGAAAGCGUGGGGAGCAAACAGG
rnacentral:rRNA from 1 species